GAAACGACUGCUAAUACCGCAUAAGCCCACAGGUCGGCAUCGACCAGAGGGAAAAGGAGCAAUCCGCUUUGAGAUGGCCUCGCGUCCGAUUAGCUAGUUGGUGAGGUAAUGGCCUACCAAGGCAACGAUCGGUAGCCGGACUGAGAGGUUGAACGGCCACAUUGGGACUGAGACACGGCCCAGACUCCUACGGGAGGCAGCAGUGGGGAAUAUUGCACAAUGGGGGAAACCCUGGUGCAGCGACGCCGCGUGGAGGAAGAAGGUCUUCGGAUUGUAAACUCCUGUUGUUGAGGAAGAUAAUGACGGUACUCAACAAGGAAGUGACGGCUAACUACGUGCCAGCAGCCGCGGUAAAACGUAGGUCACAAGCGUUGUCCGGAAUUACUGGGUGUAAAGGGAGCGCAGGCGGGAAGACAAGUUGGAAGUGAAAUCUAUGGGCUCAACCCAUAAACUGCUUUCAAAACUGUUUUUCUUGAGUAGUGCAGAGGUAGGCGGAAUUCCCGGUGUAGCGGUGGAAUGCGCAGAUAUCGGGAGGAACACCAGUGGCGAAGGCGGCCUACUGGGCACCAACUGACGCUGAGGCUCGAAAGUGUGGGUAGCAAACAGGAUUAGAUACCCUGGUAGUCCACACCGUAAACGACGAUUACUAGGUGUUGGAGGAUUGACCCCUUCAGUGCCGCAGUUAACACAAUAAGUAAUCCACCUGGGGAGUACGACCGCAAGGUUGAAACUCAAAGGAAUUGACGGGGGCCCGCACAAGCAGUGGAGUAUGUGGUUUAAUUCGACGCAACGCGAAGAACCUUACCAAGUCUUGACAUCCUGCGACGCACAUAGAAAUAUGUGUUUCCUUCGGGACGCAGAGACAGGUGGUGCAUGGUUGUCGUCAGCUCGUGUCGUGAGAUGUUGGGUUAAGUCCCGCAACGAGCGCAACCCUUACUGUCAGUUACUACGCAAGAGGACUCUGGCAGGACUGCCGUUGACAACACGGAGGAAGGUGGGGAUGACGUCAAAUCAUCAUGCCCUUUAUGACUUGGGCUACACACGUACUACAAUGGCGUUAAACAAAGAGAAGCAAGACCGCGAGGUGGAGCAAAACUCAGAAACAACGUCCAGUUCGGACUGCAGGCUGCAACUCGCCUGCACGAAGUCGGAAUUGCUAGUAAUCGUGGAUCAGCAUGCCACGGUGAAUACGUUCCCGGGCCUUGUACACACCGCCCGUCACACCAUGAGAGCCGGGGGGACCCGAAGUCGGUAGUCUAACCGCAAGGAGGACGCCGCCGAAGGUAAAACUGGUGAUUGGGGUGAAGUCGUAACAAGGUA
rnacentral:rRNA from 1 species